ensembl:lncRNA
UGCCCUGUACUUAUUCAAAAGUGUAAUUCCCUCAAGGAGUUAAAAAAUCUGUCCAUCAUAAACCUUUUUUUACCACCCUAGUGUGCAUUGAAGCAAGCUUUGUUAUAGUCAUUUGUUAUGUUAUGGUAAACAUAACCAUCGUAGAACUGCAGAGCUGGAAGGGACCCUAUGGAUCAUCAAGUCCAGCCCUCAUCAAGGAGGCACAGUGGGGAACUGAACACCCAACUUCUGGCUCUGCAGCCAGAUAUCUAAACCACUGAGCUAUCUAGCAGACCUUAAUUAGUUCUUGGCUAAUUACAGAUUCACAGAAUAGAAGACUUGGAAGGGCCCCUAAGGACCACCAAGUUGCUUAUCCCCUCAAAACAGGGAUUUCUAUUUGAUUAUUUUAAAUCAAUGUUUGCCAAUCUUGAGCCCUCAAAUGUUCUUCCAGUAAAAUUCCCAGAAGCCUUCACCACUAGCUGUGAGAUUUCUGGGAGCUAUCAUCCAAGAACAUCUGGGGACUCACGGUUGGGAACCACAGUUUUAAAUUAUAAAAUCUGUUUGGAAAUAUAAAACUGAAUUCAACUUUAAAAGCAAACCCUGUCCCCUUGUUUCUCUUUCAGUCUCCCUUUCUAGUUAAAAAUGAGAAAAUAAAAACUGGGUGUAGCUUGAAAGGUUUUGAUUCAAGUUUAAUUAACUUUGAAUUAAACUCAUCACAGCCUGCUUGGCUUUCCCACCUUCUGACCAUAUAUGGUCCCCCAAAGUGGCUCAGUCCUGAUAUUUCCCAGGAAAGCCAAUGACAUCAUCCUGACUUCCCAAUCUCACAAUGGUCUACAUCCACUUGGGUCAUAGUGCAACCCAUUACAAAAAAACUUGCCAUCCAUGGUGUUGGCUCAGUUGCCCUUGGGCUCUCCAGGGAUUGCAGCCUCUCUGAGGUUUGCCCAAUCCCAUGUAGAACAGGCACAAUCAAUUGGAACAGGCACCAUCAAAAGGAUGCCCAUGCUUUUUAGGUCCAAGCUCCAAGUCAGACAGAAGUGGAGGAACGAAGCCAUGGCUCUGGGCUACAGCCACACUUAGCUUAGAGCCGGGCAGCUUCUUGUGUUUCUUCUGUGAAGAGGACAUGGAGAAGACCCUGUCUGGAGAGAAAGCAAGAACUUGGUAUGUGGUUGACAAAUAGUGGUUGACCACUUCCCCUUUGUUUAAGUUGUACCAUGAUGUUGGGAUUGUACAUUGGAGAUGUCUUGUUGGUCUACUAUCUAGCCAUUUGACAGAGCUAUCUCCUGAUUAAUUCUGGGUUCAUGUUUCUCUUAGGAAGAGCACAUGUAGAAAACCUUAUCUAGACAGGAUCUAUGCAUCAAGUAGAGGUUACCAUCUCCUGGUUGUUCCCUUUGUGUUAUGCAUGAAAUUGGAGGUGUUUUCUGUCUACAAGCUAACCAUGUAUUCUGCUCUUUUAAGGUGUCAUACUUCACUGGGAGGCCGAGCAAAUGUCAAAGAGAACCUUUAAAUCACAUAUUUUGGCAGGGUAGGUAACAAUGUCAGUAACAAUGCCUUCAAUAAAUGACCCAUAAUUUGCCA